GCUUCCCCGCACUCACGGGCAGCCCGGGGCUGGCCGCCGGCGCCUCUUGCCUCUCCGUGCCUGCGGUGCGCGCCCUGCUGUUUCUAUAGGAACCAGCACGGCGCCGGGCCCCUCCGGCUGCGGCCCCGCGCGCGAGCAUGCCCAGUGCAAGCCGCUAGUUUGGCUCGGGGUCUAGGUUUCCAGUAAGUGGCAUGCGGGACUCGGGAGAGAUCCCAGGGAGCUGAGCCGAUCGCCUUUGUGUGCAGAGAGAGGAGGAGGCGGCGGCGGACCCCACCCGGGGAGCCCCACGGCAGGAACAAUGCUAGCCUGCCUGACCCGCGGGAACUUACUGGACGUCCUGCAGGAGGGCUUCAAUGAGCAACAGCUACAGGCCUAUGUGGCCUGGGUGAAUGCCCAGCUGAAGAAGAGGCCAUCCGUGAAGCCUGUGCAGGACCUGCGACAGGAUCUCCGAGAUGGAGUGAUCCUGGCCUAUCUCAUCGAGAUUGUUGCAGGAGAAAAACUGAGUGGAGUACAGUUGAGUCCCAGUAACCAACAAGAAAUGAAGGAUAAUGUGGAAAAAGUGCUGCAGUUUGUAGCUUCCAAAAAGAUUCGUAUGCAUCAGACGUCAGCCAAAGAUAUUGUGGAAGGAAACCUGAAGUCCAUCAUGAGGCUGGUCCUUGCCUUGGCAGCUCAUUUUAAACCCGGCUCUAGCAGGACAGUGAGCCAGGGGCGUGACUCCAGAGCCCCUGUUCAGACUCAUCAACCGCACUGUGCUACUGCUGUGGCCCAAGGAGCAGCUGCUGCUCUGGCUGAUGUGUGCCAUGACAUGUCUCGGUCAGGACGGGAUGUCUUCCGGUAUAGACAGAGGAACAGCAGCAUGGAUGAGGAGAUUGAGAAUCCAUACUGGAGUGUUCGGGCACUUGUGCAGCAAUACGAAGGGCAACAGCGGUCUCCAUCUGAGUCUAGCUGCUCCAGUCUGACUUCACCCAGUCCAAUCCACAGUGCAAAGAGUGAAUCCAUUAUAACCCAGUCAGAAGAAAAGGCUGAUUUUGUGAUUAUUCCCUCUGAAGGAAUAGAGAACAGAACAGACGAGACAGGCUCUCCAUUAUCCCGAGACUGGAGGCCUGGGAGCCCGGGAACGUACCUGGAAGCCACGUGGGAAGAGCAGUUACUGGAGCAACAAGAGCAUUUAGAAAAAGAAAUGGAGGAAGCGAAGAAAAUGAUUUCAGGACUGCAGGCCUUACUACUCAAUGGAUCCUUACCUGAAGAUGAACAGGAAAGACCCUUGGCCCUCUGUGAACCAGGAGUCAAUCCCGAGGAACAGCUGAUUAUAAUCCGGAGCCGUCUGGAUCAGAGUAUGGAGGAGAAUCAAGACCUCAAGAAAGAGCUACUGAAAUGCAAACAGGAUGCCAGAAACUUGCAGGGGAUAAAGGAUGCCUUGCAACAGAGGUUGACUCAGCAGGACACAUCUGUUCUUCAGCUCAAGCAAGAGCUUCUGAGGGCAAAUAUGGACAAGGAUGAGCUGCACAACCAGACUGUGGAUCUGCAGAGGAAGCUAGACGAGAGGAACCGGCUCUUAGGAGAAUAUAAAAAAGAGCUCGGGCAGAAGGACCGCCUCCUUCAGCAGCAGCAGGCCAAGUUGGAAGAAGCACUCCGCAAACUCUCGGAUGCCAGUUACCAGCAGGUGGAUCUGGAACGAGAGCUGGAGCACAAAGAUGUCCUUCUGGCUCACUGCAUGAAAAGAGAGGCGGACGAGGUGACAGAUUACAACAGCCACGGCUCUCAGCGCAAUGGCUUUGUCCUUCCGGUGGCAGGGAGAGGUGCCGCAUCUGUCGUCCACAGAGGGCCACAGACCAGUGACCUCCAGCUCGUCCGAGAUGCUCUCCGCAGCCUGCGCAACAGCUUCAGUGGCCACGAUCCUCAGCAUCACACCAUCGACAGCCUGGAGCAGGGGAUCUCUAGCCUCAUGGAGCGUCUGCAUGUCAUGGAGACACAGAAGAAACAGGAAAGGAAGGUUCGGGGCAGGUCACUCAGAACUCAAGCAAGCAGUGAAUACCGGGCAUCCUGGCCCCCUAAUUCAACGUUGCCUCACUCCCAGAGUUCUCCGUCCGUCAGCAGCACCUGCACCAAAGUGCUCUACUUCACUGACCGGUCACUCACGCCCUUCAUGGUCAAUAUACCAAAGAGGUUGGGGGAGGUGACACUGAAGGAUUUUAAAGCAGCUAUUGAUCGAGAAGGGAAUCACCGGUACCACUUCAAAGCACUGGAUCCUGAGUUUGGCACUGUCAAAGAAGAGCUUCAGAGGUUUAGUCCGAUAUCAUCAUGGCGGGAAACGUGGUACCGGAGAAGUAGCUGAGAGUUCUACAUGCGGAUCUGCAGGCAGCAGGGAGAGAGAGACACUGGGCCUGGUUUGGACUCUUGAAACCUCAAAGCCCACCCCCAGUGACACACUUCCUCCAACAAGGCCACACCUACUCCAACAAGGCCACACCUCCUAAUCCCUUCCAAGUAGUGCCACUCCCUGAUGACUAAGCAUUCAAACAUAUGAGCCUGUAGGGGCCAUUCCUAUUCAAACCACCACAGUUCCCCUGAAGAAGCCCAGGAAUUAUGAGAGGUUCCAUGUCCAUGAACCAGUUGCUUUAAAUUCCAUAGAAUGGCCCGUGAUGCUGACAGCUUUGUUAGUUAGAGGACUGAACAUUGUAUUUUAUUUUUUGUGCAUGGGUGUUUUGUUUGUAUGUAUGCCUGUGGACCACAUAUAAGUACCCAGGGAGGCCAGAAGACAGUGUUAGAUCCCUUGGAACUGGACUUAUAGACAAUUGUGAGCUGCCACGUAGGUGCUAAGAAUCAAACCUGGGUCUUCUGAAAGAGUAGCCAGUGCUCUUAAUCACUGAGCCAUCUCUCUAACUCCAAGAACUGAUCACUUUUUACUAAAAACUUUGAUAGAAUUUUUACUUUAAAAAAGAAAGAAUACUGUUAGGUUAAGUAAAAACCCUAAGACAAGGGGCAGGGACUUGCAUUUACUGUCCCAUACACACAAAAUCCAAGACCAUAAGCAACGUUAUCUAUCUGUAUCCAGUUGUCAUGAAACUUCACUGUCCUUUAUAUUUAUUUACUUACUGUGUGUGGGAGUGGAUGGUUAUGCGUGCACUUGUAGAGGUCAGAAGACACCUGCAGGAAUUGAUCUCUCCUUCUACCGUGUGAGUCCAGGGGGUUAAACUCAGGGUGUGGGACUUGAUGACAAGUGUCCUUAUCUGUUGAGCCACCUCACCAGCCCUUAGAAAACUUCUUGCUAUUAAGUUUCAAACCCAGAAAAACAGCCCAGGUGCCUAUUUAACAUGUCAAAGUUGGAUCAGUCUACCAGGUUCUCCCAGCAUCCCUCAGUCCCUACCUGUUACAGGGAAUGGCUGGCAUACCCUGCCCACUACCCUGAACUCUCCAGCCCAGGGCCUGGACUGCCCUUCCCCCAGAGGCUCUUCCCUAAUCUGGACAUUUUGGUUACCCACCCCUUUUGGAUCUUUGUCCUCCUGGCUGCUGCACCUGGUUCCCCUCUCUCCCCUGUCCCUUCCCCCGCUUCUCCCACAGGUCAGUCUGGUGUCCACUCUGGACUCUCCCAGAUGUCCCUGACUCUGACUAUGCUCUCCCAAAUGCCUAUAAUAAACUGAAUCCUCCACCAUACCUAGGAGCAGUCGUGUCCUUUUCUCUCUUUCCUUCCUUCCUUCCUUCCUUCCUUCCUUCCUUCCUUCCUCCCUCCCUCCCUCCUUUCUUUCUUUCUUUUCUUUCUUUCUUUCCUCCCUCCCUCCCUUCUUUCUUUCUUUCUUUCUUUUUUUCUUUUUUUCUUCAUCUGGUGCUGGAACUGCAUGAGUGGCUUAAUGAGUUCCCUCUCCAAGGACCUCUCAGCCACUCUGAAUCAAGCUGCAGCUCUGACUCUCCUAAGGUAUGUCUGGAUCCUUUGAUUCUGCCGGCUUUUGUCACCCACCACAUCUGAUUCUAGAGUCUGCCUCUUCCGCCGCUUCUUCCCUCCACCUUAACUAACCAUCCAUCUCUCCUCCUCUACGCAGUCAGUGUCUUCUCUUCCUUUUUGCACUGCCCACCACGUAGGCAUAUCCCUGCUACAGUCUUUGCACUGCCCACCACGUAGGCAUAUCCCUGCUACAGUCUUUGCGCUGCCCACCACGUGGGGAUCCUCCCUGCAAUGCCCUUCAGGGCCCUACCACGUGGGCAGUUCUACCUGCUAAGACACUUGCACCUCUCCAGCUGUUUUCUCCUCUGCCUGCUCUAACCACUUGUCUCUCCCCUUUUUCUGGGUAAGUGUCACUAUGGAGUUCUGGGAUUUGUCUCCUUUUACUAUAAAAGCCGCACUGGUGUGCCAGGAAGCUUCUCUCACAUCACGUGGAAAGGGACACCUCUCCUCUGACAUGGCUCUCAGUCCACUUGGGGACACCUUGGAUUGAAAUUCGUGUUACCAGGACACUUAUCCCUCUGCUCCCUCGUGGCUCCUCAGCUCCUCCCUGGAACCUCCUCACCUCCCCCGAGGAGCUGCCCGCAUGCUCCUGAGUCUGCCACCCUUUCCUUGCCCCUUCCUCCUUUUCUCCUUGGACGCAAUUCCUUUCUCGGACUCAAGAGAUUUUCUUAAAGCCUUGCUGUCUUACUGAAAAUGCUUGGCCUCAGUGUAGCUCCAUGGCCAAAGAUGGCACACUGGGUUCCAAAUUCUCACAAACUGUAACAACUUCUGCUACCACAGGUUUUCCAUGAUGACGAUGCCAUCCCUGGAUGGGAAGGGAAAAUUGUGGCCUGGGUGGAAGAAGACCAUAGAGAGAAUUAACCGGACCCCGGACACUCCCUGGCUGCUUCUCUCAGGAAAGACGACUAAUACCAGAGUACGCUGAGAAGUUUCUAAUUCCUGCUGCCAAAAAGAAGCUUCUUCAAGUAUGAUGGUUACAGGCCAGUCCUGUUGGUGUGCCGGGCAUAUCUAGUACUUAAAGUCUCUGUCCAAACACAGACCAUGGGUCCAUCUGGAGCUCCUUGUCCGUGGGAACAGUGUUUUAUUCUACUCUGAGGACACCAAACCGAAGGCCUUAACCACCAGGGGUGGAUGAUCCCUCUCUUGUAGGGGCCUGGCUGCUAUUAUCUGGAACCCGGAAGUGGAUGCAUCUCUCCUUUAUGGUACAGUGUUCAUUCCAUUGGCCUCGAUGGUUGCAGCAAUCAGAGUCCCAGCAUUUGUGCUCACAGACAAGGCAAAGGUACCGACUUUUCUGCUUCUCUGCAGAUGUUGCAGCCCAGGAGUAACUCAAGUGGUACCAAAGAUGAAAGCCCACUUGCAUCUGUUGACCUUGGAUGUGGAUGAUGCUGACUUGUUGAUUGGGUGGGGAGAGGGUUGCCCAUAGUGUGCUAUACUAUGCCAAAACCAUAAUGAAGACCUUGGACCACCUCUUCUGGUUCUGACUCUUCUGCAGCUUGUCCUUCGCCCAUUUGGGCAUUUUUUUUCCUCACAAACUGCCGGUUUUCCCUGGGGACUCUUUAACUUCAGAGCCAUUUCUUUUUCUCCACACAGAUGAACUUUGUGCUUGAAAAGAAUUAGAAGCGAGAGGCUCCUGGAGCAUCCAGGAGGGUAUGGAAAGGUGCUGCUACCACUUCUCUGUGACAAAUGCACAGCAUCUCCUUUGCAUUUGCAAGGAGACAGACCAUUAAUUUGUGUUUGUGAUUUGAGCACCAGCAUGAUUUACUGGUCUGGAGUUUUCUGUUUUUCAAGGCUGGAGUUGUUUUCUGUUACAUGCUUAGUCUGGGCUGUUCCUUUAGGGCACAAUGGAACCCACGGGGCAUGGAGCAUGAGUUGUGAGUGGCAGGGUUGAAUCAAGGUCAAGAGUCAUUUCAUAUUGCAACACUGUCCAGUUUAGACGAUAAAGAGUUCAGUUUCCAGAGGUUACUCAAUAACUUGGGUUUUCUCAUUCACACACCUAGCACCAUCCACCCAUCAGCCAUGAUUAUCUAUUUAUAGAAGUCCCUCAAAGCGGUCUGCAACCACCCCUGUAUACUGCCAAACAGAACAGUGGGACAGAUGGGUCCGUCAGUCCUGGGAUCUGCCUGUCUCUGUCUGUCACUCAUUUUCAGCCAUUUGAACAGACUACUCUUGGGAACGCUGAGAUAACAUCUUAUUGUUUUAUAUAGACAUGUCUUUUAAAAAUAGUUCAUGUUUGAGAAUUGUUUGGUGCUCAUUUGCUUUUGCCUGAGAACCAUGUCUAUUUUUAUAACUCGUGUGACUUCUGUGUAUUCUCACAUUCCCUGUACCCUGCCCAUUUUCUAGAGUGCCCAAUAGCUUUUCUACAGUCUCUUCUUACCGCCUCUUGUGGUUUCAGAACAAGCUUUAUUUUGUUACGAGUAUACUAAUGGCAGUCCAUUCCUGUCCAGUUCUCCUUGCUGUUUUAGUGCUGGAGGGUUUGUUUUUUUUUAAUCUAGUUGAUUGCUCUUCUAAAAGACAUGAGAUCAAGGACCUUUCAAAAAGAAAGUCUUUCAUGCACACUACCCUGGUCUUCUAUUGAAGAACAAUUUUUCAUCAGCUAUAACUAGGAAAGUUCAGGAAAGUCAGCCAUAGGCAAGAACAACUCAUUGUGAACGCCAACAGAAGAAAACAGUAUUAUUUCCACAUUUUUUCUCAAGAUGACUGGAGGGAUAAAAGUCCGUACAUCACCAAUUUCUCUGUUGCAUGAAUUUUAAUGUUUGCUAUUUGACAGCAUGAAGGUGACCAGGCUAAACUUCGUUACUGUAGUCCAAGUACAACUUACCUUGAAUGUCUGUCUCUUAAACCAGAUAUCCCUUGUCCAUUUUCUUUCAGCAAACAGUCUUAACAUUAUGUGGAAUUAACUUUUCAGCAAAAAUUAAAUCAGAGAAAAAGCUUCGAAGUCCUCUAUAUUGUGUUUUAUUUUUAUCUCUUUUUGGAAAAGGAGCCACGUGAUCUUAGUGCCUACAUAAAAAGCAGAGGUUGAAUGUAGGGGACAAUGUAGUUCACUAAUCUCAUGUACCAUGGGCAAAAUGGCCAAGCAUCUUCACUGGAAGAUGUAUUUAUUAAUUCCUGUACAUUCUGGGCCAGGGAUCCUCAUUCCAGUCCAUAAUGCUGGAGAGCAGGAGCAAGCAUGAAUUCCUUCUGUUUGGAAUAAUCUCCUGUUUGGCUAUGCUCCAGGGCAGUGGUUCUCAAUCUGUGGGUCAUGACCCCUUUGGGGGUUGAAUGACCCUUUCACAUGGGGUCGCCUAAGACCAUCAGAAAACAGAGAUUUACAUUAAGAUUCAUGACAGUAGCAAAAUUACAGUUAUGAAGUAGCAAGGAAAAUAAUUUUAUGUAUGGGGGUCACAACAACAUAAGGAAGUUAUUAAAGGGUCACAGCAUUAGGAAGGUUGAGAACCACUGCUCUAAGAGAACUUGUGGAUUAAAUAUAUUGUUCCCUAAUGGUAUUGGUGUGAGCCGGUCCAUCCUGCCAUUGCACCGGGGAGGCUGAGGCAGGUGGAUCUCUGGAUCUCUGAGUUUGAGGCCACCCUGGACUACAGAGUCAAUUCCAGGACAGCAAGGACUACAUAGUGAGACCCUGUCUUGAAAACAACAAAAACCCAAAACAAAUAUACUCAUGUGCAGAAAUGUACCUACACACACACACACACACACACACACACACACACACACCUGUAUACACACAAUUAAAAACAAAAAUAAAUCUUAAAAAAGACCUCAUAAGUGCUAAUUUAGUUAUUUAAAAACUGAAGAGUACCCUCUUCAGGCUCAAGUCCCUAAAUCAUCUGGGUUGGAACACUUUACAGUUUGUAGCUAAAACUUCCACCUGGUGAUAGAUACAUGCCUGUAAUUCCAGCAUUUGGGAGGCUAAGGCAGGAGGAUUACCAGGUUUUUGUCAGCCUGGGCUACAUAAUGAGAUCUGUGUUUGGAUUAAAAGGAAGAAAGAAAUGGAAGUAUGGGUUAAAUACAUUUGGCAACAGUAACGCUCCUUACCAACUUUUCAGGUCUUUUGUCUGGGAUGUAAAUGGGAAAAGAUCUUUAUGUUUUACAUCCAAUUCAAGAGUACUUGAUUACUGAAAAGCAUUCUGGUUAUAAUUGAAAUUUUCACUUUUACUCAUAAGCAUCGUGACUGCACACUCUUUUUUGUUGAACUUGUUAAGAGGAAUAGCUUGCUUAAACUACAUAUAUAUAAAGUUCUAUUUUCUUAGAAACAUGGACGUUUGUAACCACUGCUUUCAGAGAUUACUACUGUGUGUUCUGUUUUACAGUGUCUUCACAAAAACUUUGUUAUGCGAGAGGUUUCUGAUCAUCGAAGUGGUAGCAGUUUUAACUGCCUGUAUGUACCAGAAUUGUGAACAAGUCAAAACCACAUACACACACUACGAAUAAAAUGGAGUUUACAAACUAAA